rnacentral:lncRNA from 1 species
UGAGUGAGGUCUUUUUGGAAAGCUUUACAUGUGCAUAAUGUUGAGAGUAAUCGGAACGACAAUGUUUGGUCUCCAUUAUUGCUAGCUAUAAGACUCACAUUGUCUAGCUUCUAGGAUGAGAUGAUUUUGAUUUGAGAGUUUGAUCUUGGGAGUGUGAACAAAAGUAUGAAAAAGAGUGAAAAGAAAGAGUGAUAAAGAGUGUACAAAAAGAGUCUAAAAGAAAAUUAGUCACUAGGGACAAGUGAGGAGAAAAGUAAGAAAAAAGUGAAAAAGAAAAAAAAAGUAAGCUCAAGAGUGUAUAAAAGUUUUGAAAACUCUAUAAAAAAAAAGAGAGCUUAAGCUAAGAAAAGAGUGAAAAGUCCCUAGUUGACAAAGAAAAGAAACAAAGAGUUCAAGUAGAGAGAGUGUCUUUUAAGUGAUCUUAGAGUUUUGGGUGAGUGAAAAAAAAAAAAAAAAGAGUUGGUCAUUGGGAAAUAAGGGUAGAACUUGUAUAACAUUUGGGAAAAGGGUAGAACUUGUAUAACAUUUGGGAAAAUGGUAGAACAAUGGAGAUUGAGCAUUGUAUGCAUAAAUUGUUCAUUUUCUUAGAUAUAUUAUGCAUAAUGUCAAGGCUACUAAGUUUUUGAGAGUAAGUCACCUUAAAAAGAAAUCAUUUAAGACUCUUGAUUCACUAUGCAUUCAA